AAAUGAAUAGACGGGGGCCCGCACAAGCGGUGGAGCAUGUGGUUUAAUUCGAAGCAACGCGAAGAACCUUACCAAGGCUUGACAUCCCGCUGCCGGGCGCAGAAACGCGCCUUUUCUUCGGAACAGCGGAGACAGGUGGUGCAUGGUUGUCGUCAGCUCGUGUCGUGAGAUGUUGGGUUAAGUCCCGCAACGAGCGCAACCCUUAUCUUUAGUAGCCAGUACGUAAUGGUAGGCACACUAGAGAGACUGCCGUGGAUAACACGGAGGAAGGUGGGGAUGAGGUCAAAUCAUCAUGCCCCUUAUGUCUUGGGCUACACACGUGCUACAAUGGCUGUAACAGAGUGAAGCGAUCCUGUGAAGGUGAGCAAAGCACAAAAAAGCAGUCUCAGUUCGGAUUGUAGUCUGCAACCCGACUACAUGAAGUCGGAAUCGCUAGUAAUCGCGAAUCAGCAUGUCGCGGUGAAUACGUUCCCGGGCCUUGCACACACCGCCCGU
rnacentral:rRNA from 1 species